rnacentral:lncRNA from 1 species
GCGUGGAGAGCCCGACAGCACAGGGAGAGCCGGCAGCGGGGCUGACUUAGGGGCCUGGCCCUGGCUCCAGCCCCUUCCCCCAGGAGCUCACCCCUUUGGAUCCAGGGCUCUGGCAGGGACAGGCUCUGAGCAGUGGUAGUUUGGGGAGGGAGAAGCUCGGGCCAAGGACUUGGGUCCCAACCGCUGGAGCUAAAGGAUCAGUUCAGCAGCGUCCGGGUUCGGGGGCUGCCCGUGAAGGUGCCCAGCGGCGCUGAGCCCCUGUGGUUCACAGCCAGGAGGGGUCUGCGCAGCAGCUGAGAAUCAGAGCCCUGGUGCAGUGCAGUGCCCAUGGGCUUCACCCUCUCGCUCCCCUGCAACCAUGCCCCUGCAGCUGUUUCUGGGGUGGGGGGAGGGUGACACCUAGCGGCUGUUUAGGCCCAUGACAGCUCUCCGGGGCCCUCGCUGACACCCAGUCAAGCACUCCAGCCAGCUCAUCGGCCCCUGCCUCUUCCCUCACAGAAGGGAGCUCCGGGGCACCAAGGUCCUCCUGACCCGGGAGCUGCACUUCCGCUCCUUCUCCUGGAGGGACUGGAGCACCUCGUUCCUGUGCAUGGUGAGGAACCCGGCCGGGCUCGAAAAGGUGCUUGUCCACUGGGACCCUAAACGGCCAGCACAGAUCUCCGAGCCGCAGCAGGAGACAAGGCAGGAUGUCCAGACCCCAGAGAGCACCCCCACCAUGGACCGCACCGAGAGCACGGACUGAGCGUGGGGACAACAGCGCCAGCCUGCGAGAGGCACCGAUACUGGGUCUACGGCUGCCAAGGCCAUGUCAGCCUCCCUCCAUGGCCAACACAGCUGAGCUGCGCUGCCCUCCCCUGCCCCCUCUGUUCUUCCUGUGUCUGCUUGCCGCCCGGCCGGGCCAUGGCUUGGCUGCCCCGGAGGCCUAGGGCUGGAUAUAGCCCCAGCCCUCUGCUUGUCUGUUACAUUCCCCACCCCAGACACAUUACACUGGUGGGGGAGGCUCCCAGAGGACUUGCCCUCUGGACACGGGCACAAGGCGGCAGUAACGGGGCUGGGAAAGGCCCACGUUUGCCCCCCACCCCAUCCCUCUUCCACCGCUCUGGCAGGGUCACUCUCUCCCCUAGUGAAGUGGGGUGACCAAAGCCGCCCCCUGCUGCCAGCCCAGCCUACGACUGAAGGGGGCAGGGUCCCUUCGACAGCUGCCAGCAAUGCCCUGCCCAUUAUAUGCCCAGGAGGGCAGCACCUGCUUGGGGCAGGAGCUAGGAGACCAGCAACCACAGGCCUCUUGCUGCCAGCUCUCCUCCCACUUUGCACUGUUUCUAUUAAAUAAAAAUACA